rfam:TPA: Bos taurus chromosome 10, whole genome shotgun sequence.
UCCCUGGUGGUCCAGUGGUUAGGAUUCAGAGCUUUUACUGCUGAGAGCCUGGGUUAAAUCUCUGGUUGGGGAA